UACAGAGGGUGCUAGCGUUAAUCGGAUUUACUGGGCGUAAAGCGCACGUAGUCGGCUUUGCAAGUCGGUUGUGAAAUCCCCGGGCUCAACCUGGGAACUGCAUCCGAGACUGCAUUGCUAGAGUAUGGGAGAGGAAAGCGGAAUUUCUGGUGUAGCAGUGAAAUGCGUAGAUAUCAGAAGGAACAUCAGUGGCGAAGGCGGCUUUCUGGACCAAUACUGACGAUCAGGUGCGAAAGCGUGGGGAGCAAACAGG
rnacentral:rRNA from 1 species